rnacentral:miRNA from 10 species
CAGCACCCCUGUCUCCGCCCACUCGGCCACCACGUGGUGGCUGAGCGAGGGCCUCGGGGUGACAC